rnacentral:rRNA from 1 species
UACGUAGGGGGCAAGCGUUGUCCGGAAUUAUUGGGCGUAAAGAGCGCGCAGGCGGUCGUUCAAGUCGCGUGUGAAAGCCCCCGGCUCAACUGGGGAGGGUCACGCGAUACUGAUCGACUCGAAGGCAGGAGAGGGAAGUGGAAUUCCCGGUGUAGUGGUGAAAUGCGUAGAUAUCGGGAGGAACACCAGUGGCGAAGGCGGCGACCUGGGCAGAUACUGACGCUGAGAUGCGAAAGCGUGGGGAGCAAACAGG